UACGAGGGGGGCAAGCGUUGUUCGGAAUUAUUGGGCGUAAAGGGCGCGUAGGCGGUGCGGUAAGUCUGAUGUGAAAUCUCCGGGCUCAACUCGGAGUCUGCAUCAGAAACUGCCGUGCUUGAGUGUGGGAGAGGUGAGUGGAAUUCCUGGUGUAGCGGUGAAAUGCGUAGAUAUCAGGAGGAACACCUGUGGCGAAAGCGGCUCACUGGACCAUAACUGACGCUGAUGCACGAAAGCUAGGGGAGCAAACAGG
rnacentral:rRNA from 1 species